UAUAUAUAUAUAUAUUGAUUGUCAAGUCUCACCUUGCAAUGUAUAUAUUCUUUUGUGUCACCCUACAACUACAGACAGAUUGGCCCGAAUUCACAAAAUACCUAGCUCCUAGUUUUUGGUGGUUUAAACCCAGAGCUGGGUUUUUCAUUUGCGUUUCACAAAGGAUUUUUAAGCCCCAAGGGGGUUUAAAUGCGUCAUGAAACGUCAUAUAUUUUACUCAGCUCUGAGAUGUGGUUUAAAUUAUGGUUUAACCUUUUGAGCAUGCGCACUUGAGAAGAAUGUGAAAAAUCUGCGAAGCGAACAGAAUUUUCCUUUCGGUCUUAGAUGUGACAAAUGAUAUUCUUGAUCAGAAAUUCGUAAGUAUUCUUCUUUGAAUUCGUAAAAUAAAUUCCCGCUGUACUUCUCUGGAAUAUAUUGAUCCGUUUUAUGCAGUUAUAUGAAAUUGAUAGUGUUGUUUUUCAUAAUUGCGAUUGAGGUUUUGGUAUUGACAAGUCCAGACAAAGCACUGUAUCGUCGCGUAUGUAUUGUCACAGUCCCAUCUGUGCAUUUAAGUGUUGGGAUAUUUUGACGCUGUGCAAUGGUUGUUGAACGAAUUGAACUGAAGGUUCUCAGCCGCGCGCUGCUCUUAAUUGUUUUAUGAGCUUCACACAACGAUAUUGAUAUUAUGAUGCCAUCUAUAUCUUCAUUUGUAAAUGUCAAGAUGAAAAUAUAAUAUCUAGUUCUAUAUAAUUUUGUACUUUUUGGUGCAUAUUAAGAGGAGAAAGAAAUGCUUUUUUUUCAAUUUGCCUGGCUAAACUAAAGCCUAAAUUGCAUUUUAAAGUAUACAUUUGUAGAUCUAGACCUACCUUUUUGCUUUCGGCACAGGCCAAUUUUUGAGGCUGUAGGAAUAUUAAAGAGUUGAUUAGUUAGUUUGGUCUAAAAUAUUUUCACUUGAAAAUAGAGCCCCCCCCAAAAAAAAAAAACAGACAAAAAACAUUGCAUUAGGGGCCUAAUUUUGUAAGGCAUAUUGGCAGUUUCACACAAAUUAUUACAAUUUUUUUUUAUUCAUCAUUCACCAUGUUCACUAUGAGAUCUGUAAAAAGCGAUUACCAAUGAAUAUUUUAUUUUUAUAUGAAAAAUUAAUGUUUGUUUAAAAAUUUGACCAUUGUUUCAAAGAAUUACAUCGACAUCAGAGGUACCGUAGAUCUCCAUGAAUUAUCUCCAUCAUCUUCACAACCUUGAAUUACUAAGAGCUACCUUUUCCAAAACGUGGGCUACGUGAUGCUAAAAAUCCAUCGGAAUCGUACGAGAAUGGGCCAUCUCGAGAUCAGUAUCGACUGUCAUGUAUGUCAUCAAUAUGCUGGAAACCGAAAUGAAGAGGUACACACAGAGGAAUGAUCAACUUCCUGUUUAUUUGCAUUUGUUGAAAACUCUCCGUUUAUAUGCAGUGGGAUCAUUUCAAAAGAUGCAUGGUGAUGAGGCAGCAAUAUCAGUCAUCAAUGUGUCGAAUCAUCAAAGAUGUGUCGGAAGCUCUAGCAAGAAGGAAGAGGCAAAACCUGAAGUUUCCUUUGACAAGAGAAGAAGUUGAAGCAACUCAGCGACAGUUCUAGCAGUACUGUAGAUUUCCAGGAGUGAUAGCUAGUGCAGUUGAUGGACACAUGUCUACAUCAAGAGCCCGGGGGGGGGGGGGGGGUGAGGCCAUAUACUUCCGAUAUAUCCCCUUCCUUUUUUAUGUGGAGAGGAAUGACUAUAACAAUGGCAAAAGUAUUGAUAACAUAGAAACGCAGAGUUCAUUCAAAUUUAUGAAGAAUACUUUACUUCUUUAUUUGUUAAUAAAUUGAUUGGUAUAACCCUGUGUUUCCAGCAGCUUAGCUUCAGCAACCUCUCUUUUUAUUUUAAACAUCCAUUUGUAGUUCACGCUCCUUUAAUCUCGUGCUCUUUCAAUCUCAUUUCGUGCUCUUUAAAUCUCAUAUCGUGUUCUUUCACUCUCAUUUCGUUCUCUUUAAUCAUGUUUCGUCCAUUGAACUUCAAUUCUUACGGCUUGCUUUGCCUCUACCAGCUCCAUGGGGGGGCCACUUU